rnacentral:rRNA from 1 species
AACGCGAAGAACCUUACCUGGGCUCGAAGCGCAGUGGACCGGGGUAGAAAUAUCCCUUCCUCGCAAGAGGCUGCUGCGGAGGUGCUGCAUGGCUGUCGUCAGCUCGUGUCGUGAGAUGUUGGGUUAAGUCCCGCAACGAGCGCAACCCUUAUCCCUAGUUGCCAUCGGGUCAAGCUGGGCACUCUAGUGAAACCGCCCAGGAUAACUGGGAGGAAGGUGGGGAUGACGUCAAGUCCUCAUGGCCUUUAUGUCCAGGGCUACACACGUGCUACAAUGGUCGGUACAAACCGUCGCAAACCCGCGAGGGGGAGCUAAUCGGAAAAAGCCGGCCUCAGUUCGGAUUGGAGUCUGCAACCCGACUCCAUGAAGCUGGAAUCGCUAGUAAUCGCGGAUCAGAACGCCGCGGUGAAUACGUUCCCGGGCCUUGUACACACCGGAGUA